UCCGGGGGGGGCAAGCGUUGUUCGGAAUUACUGGGCGUAAAGGGCCUGUAGGCGGCCAACUAAGUCGGAUGUGAAAUCCCCAGGCUUAACCUGGGAACUGCAUCCGAUACUGGAUGGCUUGAAUUCGGGAGAGGGAUGCAGAAUUCCAGGUGUAGCGGUGAAAUGCGUAGAUAUCUGGAGGAAUACCGGUGGCGAAGGCGGCAUCCUGGACCGACAUUGACGCUGAUGAGCGAAAGCUAGGGGAGCAAACGGG
rnacentral:rRNA from 1 species